rnacentral:lncRNA from 1 species
CAGAUGCACAGUAGCGGGUUCCCGUCACUCCAUGAGGUCACUGUAGACCUGGACCAUUCCAGAGUAUCCUUUGUUCAUCAGUCUUUAGAAGGACUCGUCCUCCAGCGACCAAAGCAGGUUGCAGAGGAAGAGGAGCUUGUCACAAACAUUAACCAGCACAGGGCUGGGCAACUGCACUGACAAAUUUGGAAGCAGCAGGACCAGAGAGCCAAGGUCCCUGGGUAUCCCCAUUGGCCGCUGGUAGAGGUGCACUGGAAGGUCAGAGCCUUGACACCACAUAGCCAAGCAACACACACCUCCUUGGGCCCAGGACCCAGUGCUGGCAGCUGGCCUCACCCACAGCAGGGAGGUGUGGGUCCUCCAGUGACCUUCCUGCCCCUGCCAGAUGAUUUUGACAACUACCUAACCUUGGUGUUUACUUCUAGGUCCUUUGGCCAAAUGCAUUUUCUUCUAAGAGUUGUUGGCAAAAUACUGUUACAAGCUUCUUAUGGGACUUUUGUCCUACUGUGACCUGGUUAAAGGCUUUGUCCUUCUCUUUAAUCCGCUUCUGUGGUUUUGCUGUCAUUUCUCUUGAUGCCAUAUUUUCAGGUCCUUCAUGGGAGGGGGCAUAAGGUCUCCAUCGUAACGUCCCCUCUGCAGCUGUCCAGCCAGCAGUGACUGGGCCCCUACAUGUGCGUUCCUGUGGUUGAAUUGUCAUAUAAACAGUGUCCCUUUCAUUGCUGCCCAAACAGACUGGAGGCCUGCUCCUGCCAGCACUCAGAGGGGGAGUGUGUGCUUCCCAAGAGCCUGCCCCCUUGGCCCAUGCAAACUUUCUCCAUGGCAGGUGUACAUGGAGGUCUCCCAGGCCCUAUGGGCUGUCCAGCUCUUUGCACACAUUCUUCCUGCUUGCAGGAAUGGAAACCAAACACCUGAUACGGAAUGAUGACUUGGCAGCGGGGAGUGGGGCAGCUUGUCUCCACUAACUUAGGACCAAAACUAGGAAACUCACCAUGAGCAUGCUUUGGAGAUCAGCUGUGGCCUCGAGCCCCUGUACACGCAGAGGCAAGCCCCACCUCUGACAGAGCCAGUCACCAUUCAGUAGGAGCUUCGCUUCCCCGGGCCCACAGGUAGGAAAGGCUGGGCUCUUAGUCCUGUAAGUAAAGGCGCUGUUAGGAGCAAGGAGCAGGUUCAGCUGGGUCCACAGAGGAACUAAGCUCCUUAGUGACCCGUUACUGCCUCAUCUACGGAGUUUGAACUCCAUUCACCAUCACCUUUGAGAAUUUGGCCUUGUUUUAACUAAGGAUUGUUGAAGUAAAUUAGAACAAGGGACCAUCCUCACCCUGUGUG